rnacentral:rRNA from 1 species
UACGUAGGGCGCAAGCGUUGUCCGGAAUUAUUGGGCGUAAAGAGCUCGUAGGCGGCUUGUCACGUCGGGUGUGAAAGCCCGGGGCUUAACCCCGGGUCUGCAUUCGAUACGGGCUGGCUAGAGUGCGGUAGGGGAGAUCGGAAUUCCUGGUGUAGCGGUGAAAUGCGCAGAUAUCAGGAGGAACACCGGUGGCGAAGGCGGAUCUCUGGGCCAUUACUGACGCUGAGGAGCGAAAGCGUGGGGAGCGAACAGG